UUCCAGCUCUAAUAGCAUACGUUAAAGUUGUUGCGGUUAAAACGCUCGUAGUCGGCUUCAGACCAUCAGAAGCCUGGCUCGGGGUCUCGGGUCUGUGCCUCGCAAGGGGUGCGCCUUGGUCUUGGGCCGGGUGGGCGGCGGUCAAUCGUGCCCAGUGGCGUGUCGCGGCUUGCCGUGGCUUACAGGGCCUUCGGGAUCAAAACCCGGCUUCCGCAAGGGGGUCGGGUCCCGUCGGUCUGGCUCUGGGUACCAAUUACCAUGAUUAAACCGGAGUGAUCAAAGCAAACCGCUGCGGUUACUGCACGGAUUAGCAUGGCAUAAGGAUGCGUCGGGUUGGUCUCGUAGCGGGCCUCCUCGGCAAUUCCGCGAAAGGGGUGUUCGGGGGCAGCCGAAUUGCCGGGCUAGUGGUGAAAUACGUUGACCCUGGCAAGUCGACCGAAAGCGAAAGCAGCUGUCAAGGGCACACCCGUUGAUCAAGAGCGAAAGUUAAGGGUUCGAAGACGAUCAGAUACCGUCGUAGUCUUAACUAUAAAUGAUACUGGCCAGGGAUAGGGCAAUGUCCAUCUCGACUCCCCCCGGACUUUUGGGAAACCAAAGCCUAUGAGUUCUGGGGGGAGUAUGGUCGCAAGGCUGAAACUUAAAGGAAUUGACGGAAGGGCACACAAAGAGUGGAACCUGCGGCUUAAUUUGACUCAACACGGGAAAACUCACCGGGUCCAGAUACAUGGAUGAAAGACAAGCUGAUAGACUUUUCUCAAUUAUGUAAGUGGUGGUGCAUGGCCGUUCUUAGUUCGUGGAGUGGUUUGUCUGGUCUAUUCCGAUAACGAGCGAGACCCCAACGGUCUAAAUAGGGGCCGCAGCCCGGCUCGGCUCGCCUUCACGGGUGGGCCUUGCUAGCAGCGCGCUUCGAAAGCAAGCUUCUUAGACGGAUCGGGGCCGAUAAGGUCUCUGAAAUGGGUUAAUAACAGGUCAGUCAUGCCCUUAGAUGUUCCGGGCCGCACGCGCGUUACAAUGGGGGGCAAAACGAGUGUCCGUCAGGGCUUUUCCGCCGCCUACCGGUGGUGGUAACCCGUAGGGCCCCCCUUGACUGGGCUAGUCUCUUGCAAUUAUUGGUCUUCAACGAGGAAUUUUUAGUAGGCGCGGGUCAUUAACCCGUGCCGAAUGCGUCCCUGCCCUUUGUACACACCGCCCGUCGCUGCUACCGAUUGGGUUUCGCGGUUACGUAUUCGGAGAUUCUUUCAACUGCUGCCGCAAGGCGGCGGGCGACUGGGUCUAAGUCUAAAUUACCGCACGGCCUAGAGGAAGCAGAAGUCGUAACAAGGUAAUCGUAGGUGAACCUGC
rnacentral:rRNA from 1 species